rnacentral:rRNA from 1 species
UACGUAGGGUGCAAGCGUUAAUCGGAAUUACUGGGCGUAAAGCGUGCGCAGGCGGUUAUGUAAGACAGAUGUGAAAUCCCCGGGCUCAACCUGGGAACUGCAUUUGUGACUGCAUAGCUAGAGUACGGUAGAGGGGGAUGGAAUUCCGCGUGUAGCAGUGAAAUGCGUAGAUAUGCGGAGGAACACCGAUGGCGAAGGCAGGC